AGCGGCGGACGGGUGAGUAACACGUGGAUAACCUACCUAUAAGACUGGGAUAACUUCGGGAAACCGGAGCUAAUACCGGAUAAUAUUUUGAACCGCAUGGUUCAAAAGUGAAAGACGGUCUUGCUGUCACUUAUAGAUGGAUCCGCGCUGCAUUAGCUAGUUGGUAAGGUAACGGCUUACCAAGGCAACGAUGCAUAGCCGACCUGAGAGGGUGAUCGGCCACACUGGAACUGAGACACGGUCCAGACUCCUACGGGAGGCAGCAGUAGGGAAUCUUCCGCAAUGGGCGAAAGCCUGACGGAGCAACGCCGCGUGAGUGAUGAAGGUCUUCGGAUCGUAAAACUCUGUUAUUAGGGAAGAACAUAUGUGUAAGUAACUGUGCACAUCUUGACGGUACCUAAUCAGAAAGCCACGGCUAACUACGUGCCAGCAGCCGCGGUAAUACGUAGGUGGCAAGCGUUAUCCGGAAUUAUUGGGCGUAAAGCGCGCGUAGGCGGUUUUUUAAGUCUGAUGUGAAAGCCCACGGCUCAACCGUGGAGGGUCAUUGGAAACUGGAAAACUUGAGUGCAGAAGAGGAAAGUGGAAUUCCAUGUGUAGCGGUGAAAUGCGCAGAGAUAUGGAGGAACACCAGUGGCGAAGGCGACUUUCUGGUCUGUAACUGACGCUGAUGUGCGAAAGCGUGGGGAUCAAACAGGAUUAGAUACCCUGGUAGUCCACGCCGUAAACGAUGAGUGCUAAGUGUUAGGGGGUUUCCGCCCCUUAGUGCUGCAGCUAACGCAUUAAGCACUCCGCCUGGGGAGUACGACCGCAAGGUUGAAACUCAAAGGAAUUGACGGGGACCCGCACAAGCGGUGGAGCAUGUGGUUUAAUUCGAAGCAACGCGAAGAACCUUACCAAAUCUUGACAUCCUUUGACAACUCUAGAGAUAGAGCCUUCCCCUUCGGGGGACAAAGUGACAGGUGGUGCAUGGUUGUCGUCAGCUCGUGUCGUGAGAUGUUGGGUUAAGUCCCGCAACGAGCGCAACCUUAAGCUUAGUUGCCAUCAUUAAGUUGGGCACUCUAAGUUGACUGCCGGUGACAAACCGGAGGAAAGGGGGGGAUGACGUCAAAUCAUCAUGCCCCUUAUGAUUUGGGCUACCCCCUGCUACAUGGACAUACAAGGGCGCGAAACCCGAGGUCAGCAAUCCCUAAAGUGU
rnacentral:rRNA from 1 species